ensembl:misc_RNA 7SK 7SK RNA
GGAUGUGAGGGUGAUCUGGCUGCGACAUCUGUCUCCCUAUUGAUCGCCAGGGUUGAUUCGGCUGAUCUGGCUGGCUAGGCGAGUGUCCCCUUCCUCCCUCACCGCUCCACGUGCAUCCCUCGCAAAGCUCCGUGCUCGGUCGAAGAGAACGACCAUCCCCAAUAGAGGACUGGUCUUCGGUCAAGGGUAUACGAGUAGCUGCGCUCCUCUGCUAGAACCUCCAAAGAAGCUCUCAAGGUCCAAUUAACCAGCAAAAAGCUAGAAGUAGAGGUAUGGCUCAAGUGGCAAGAGCACCAGCCUUG